UGGUUGAUCCUGCCAGUAGUUAUAUGCUUGUCUCAAAGAUUAAGCCAUGCAUGUCUAAGUAUAGUUAUAUACGGCGAAACUGCGUAUGGCUCAUUAUAUCAGUAAUAGUUCAUUUGAUGAUACCAUUACUACAUGGAUACCCGUAGUAAUUCUAGAGCUAAUACAUGCACCCAAUCUGUUCCUUGUGUUCAGAUGUAUUUAUUAGAUAACAAAAACCAAAGCAGCAGCAAUGCUGUUUGAAUGGUGAAUCAUAAUAACUGUUCGGACCGCAACGAGUUUCAAGCUCGGCGGUAGGUCAUUCAAAUUUCUGCCCUAUCAGCUUUCGAUGGUAGUGUAGUGGACUACCAUGGCAUCGACGGGUAACGGAGAAUUAGGGUUCGAUUCCGGAGAGGGAGCCUGAGAAAUGGCUACCACAUCCAAGGAUGGCAGCAGGCGCGCAAAAUCCCCAAUCCUGAUUCAGGGAGGGUGUGACAAAAAUAACGAUACCGGAUCAAAUGGUCUGGUAAUUGGAGUGAGUACAAUUUAAAUCCCUUAGCGAGGAUCCAUUGGAGGGCAAGUCUGGUGCCAGCAGCCGCGGUAAUUCCAGCUCCAAUAGCGUAUACUAAAAUUGUUGCAGUUAAAAAGCUCGUAGUUGGAUUUCUGGUAUUGAGGAGCCUGUUCUGGGUUUAUUUUCUCUUGGACUUGCUACGGUGAGGAAGAGGGGUAAUGGAUCAGUGUGAACAGAUAAGCUCUUCUGCCAUCAUUCGUGGAGAACAGUUCGGCUCUUCAUUGAGUUGGAUUGCAAUCCCGAUCAAUUACUUUGAAAAAAUUAGAGUGUUCAAAGCAGGCUUACGCUGUGAAUACAUUAGCAUGGAAUAAUAAGAUAGGACUUGAGUCCUAUUUUUAUUGGUUUCUAGGACACAAGCCACGAUUGAUAGGGAUAGUUGGGGGUGCUAGUAUUCAACGGCCAGAGGCGAAAUUCUGUGAUUCGUUGAGGACUAACAAAUGCGAAAGCAUUCACCAAGGAUGUCUUCUUUAAUCAAGAACGAAAGUUGGGGGAUCGAAGACGAUCAGAUACCGUCGUAGUCUCAACCAAAACAAUGCCAACUAGGGAUUGGUGGACGUUAGAAAUUAAAUCAUGACUCCAUCAGCACCUUAUGAGAAAUUAAGAGUCUUUGGGUUCCGGGGGAAGUCCGAUCGCAAGGUUGAAACUUAAAGGAAUUGACGGAAGGACACCACCAGGAGUGGAGCCUGCGGCUUAAUUUGACACAACACGGGAAAACUCACCAGGUCCAGACAUAGUGAGGAUUGACAGAUUGAGAGCUCUUUCUUGAUUCUAUGGGUGGCGGUGCAUGGCCGUUCUUAGUUGGUGGAGUGAUUUGUCUGGUUAAUUCCGUUAACGAACGAGACCCCUGCCUGCU
rnacentral:rRNA from 1 species